GUAGUCCACGCCGUAAACGAUGGGUGCUAAGUGUUUGAGGGUUUCUGCCCUUUAGUGCUGAAGUAAAGGCCUUAAGCACUCCGCCCGGGGAGUACGGCCGCAAGGCUGAAAAUCAAAGGAAUUGAUGGGGGCCCGCACAAGCGGUGGAGCAUGUGGUUUAAUUUGAAGCAACGCGAAGAACCUUACCAGGUCUUGACAUCCUUUGACAACCCUAGAGAUAGGGCUUCUCCUUCGGGAGCAGAGUGACAGGUGGUGCAUGGUUGUUGUCAGCUCGUGUUGUGAGAUGUUGGGUUAAGUCCCGCAACGAGCGCAACCCUUGAUUUUAGUUGCCAUCAUUUAGUUGGGCACUUUAAGGUGACUGCCGGUGACAAACCGGAGGAAGGUGGGGAUGACGUCAAAUCAUCAUGCCCCUUAUGACCUGGGCUACACACGUGCUACAAUGGACGGUACAAAGAGCUGCAAGACCGCGAGGUGGAGCUAAUUUCAUAAAACCGUUCUCAGUUCGGAUUGUAGGCUGCAACUUGCCUACAUGAAGCUGGAAUCGCUUGUAAUCGCGGAUCAGCAUGCCGCGGUGAAUACGUUCCCGGGCCUUGUACACACCGCCCGUCACACCACGAGAGUUUGUAACACCCGAAGUCGGUGGGGUAACCUUUUUGGAGCCAGCCGCCUAAGGUGGGACAGAUGAUUGGGG
rnacentral:rRNA from 1 species